AUGGCUGGAAAGGAUAAUGAAGAAAUUCUGCACGUGGUUCAACCAAGGGUGACAAAAGAGAUGAAUGAUAUACUGUGUGCUGAGUAUACAAAGGAGGAGGUGAAACGGGCCUUAGACAACAUAGGUGACCUGAAAGCACCAGGACCUGAUGGUAUGCCAGCCAUAUUCUUUAAAAGAUUUUGGCAAAUUGUUGGGAACCAGGUCACAAAGGAGGUUCUUCAAAUAUUGAGAGGAGAAGAAAUGCUUGAAGGGUGGAAUUAUACGCUAAUAGUAUUAAUUCCGAAGAAUGCCAACCCAGCAAGCAUAAAGGAUUUGAGACCAGGCUUAAGGUAA
rnacentral:rRNA from 1 species